CUUUGACUAGACGGACCUUUGUUGGCAAAGCAAUGUCUGCUUUUUAAUAUACUCUCUAGGUUGGUCAUAACUUUUCUUCAAAGGUGCAUGGAAUAAGGCCUAAACUCUGUUUCCCUCCCCAAUCUCUCCCAACUACAGACCAGCCUCUGCUCAGAUGAAAGCCUAGCUGUUACCUGUCUUCCCUGAGCCCUGAAGGCUCUGAGGCUCCUGAUGCCCACCGGCCACUCUUUGAGGCUUGACCUGGAAUGCUUGCCUCUCAGUGAUCUGCCCAGCUGCCCCGUCAGCUUUCUUACCCAGCACAGGUCAGGUCAUUAGUCGUUAUUGUAUUAACAGCAGAUACUUCUGAGGUGUGGGCUGCCCCAGGCACUGUGCUGAGAGCACCGUAUGCCUCAUUUCAUUUCAUCAGCAGCUCACCGUGAAAGAGGAUGCUCAUCUUACAGAGAUGGAAACUAAGGCACCAGGAGAGAAGGAGUACCUCUCACAAGGCCACAAACGUGUGGGUGCUGGAGCCGGGAUCUGACCCCAGGCAGUGUGUCUCCAAACUCUGUCCUGGACUGAAUCACUUUGGGUCCUGGACCACUGAACCACAGAUGCUCUAUGGCUGCCGCAGAGGGAACAGCUAAAUGCGUGAUGACCAGGCUGCAGCCAUGACCUAAGAUGCUCCAUUCUGAGCAGCACUGAAUCUCGGGCUAGAACAAUUCCAAGAACUGGCCUCAAGAGAAUGAGACAAACACUAUUGCUCAUCAUCUAUAUCUUUAUGAGCAUCAAAAUAAUAGUAGAUGCUUGUUCUGCCUGUAUACGUAAAUGGGCAACUAAAACUGUCCGCAGAGAGAUGCUUCAAACUCAUGUUGAUAUCUUUCAGCUGAGACCUCGGCCCCCAAUCUCAGCAUGAUGCGGUUACAGAAAACGGACCUUCAUCCAUAAUCCCCUAGAAAUGAAAUGAUUAUCUGACAGAGGGGGGUUUGUAAGCAGCUCUUUACAGGAAACAGCCCUCAGCAGGAAACCCCUUUUGUCCUGUCACUUUAGCAAAGCUACAUUGAGACUAAUUUUUAAACCAGGCCACCGCCCCCCUCCCCGCCAUGGUCUACUCACCUCCGGCCCAAAUUCACCCUUCAAAUCUUUUAAUCGUAGAAUACCUUGCCUAAUGUGUUGGUCCCUUCUGUAGUUCUAAAGAGUAGAAAUAAAGAAUAAGUAAUUAAGAGAUGACCAGAUCUCUUCCCUGGCUUCUCCUUCAGUGAUCUCAUAGACAAACCGUGUGAACAAGAAAGACAGUUUCUAAAGAAAGAUCACAAGGACUCAACAAGGCUGCAAAGGAGGCUGUAUCGGGGAGAUGGUGAUGACCCUACCCCUCUGCCAUCUCAAUGAUUAACUAAGAUUACAUCCCUUUUUAUCUUUUAAAAACUUCCAUCACCAAGAAAAACCUUCAGAGUUGAUUUUCUGCGGACACUGAGCCUCAUCUCCCCAAACUGUUGGCUUUCUGAUUAAAAGCAGGGUUUUCCAUUUCUAACAAUAUUUGCCACUCGUGUUUUGAUUUUGAGCAGCAAGCAGC
ensembl:lncRNA